CCAAUAGCGUAUAUUAAAGUUGUUGCAGUUAAAAAGCUCGUAGUUGAAUUUCGGGAUCAAUAUGUCGGUCGUGCCUCGGUACGUACUGGCGUAAUUGGUUUCUCCCUUCUGAAGAACCCCGAUGUCAUUAAUUUGGUGUCGUGGGGAAUCAGGACUGUUACUUUGAAAAAAUUAGAGUGUUUAAAGCAGGCUCGCGCUUGAAUACAUUAGCAUGGAAUAAUGAAAUAGGACGUUUGAUUCUAUUUUGUUGGUUUCUAGGAUCGACGUAAUGAUUAAUAGGGAUAGUUGGGGGCAUUAGUAUUCAAUUGUCAGAGGUGAAAUUCUUGGAUUUAUUGAAGACUAACUACUGCGAAAGCAUUUGCCAAGGAUGUUUUCAUUAAUCAAGAACGAAAGUUAGGGGAUCGAAGACGAUCAGACACCGUCGUAGUCUUAACCAUAAACUAUGCCGACUAGGGAUCGGAUGAUGUUGAUUUUUUAAUGACUCAUUCGGCGCCUUACG
rnacentral:rRNA from 1 species